rnacentral:rRNA from 1 species
GACGAACGCUGGCGGCGUGCUUAACACAUGCAAGUCGAACGGAAAGUCCUGCUUUCCCUUGUGUUUUGCGGGUACUCGAGUGGCGAACGGGUGAGUAACACGUGACUGAUCUGCCCCCAACAUGGGUAUAAGCCUGGGAAACUGGGUCUAAUUCCCGAUAGGACUGCAGGGUGUUGCCUGUGGUGGAAAACCUUUUUCUAGUGUUUGCGGUUGAGGUGGCGGCCUAUCAGCUUGUUGGUGGGCUAGUCGCCUACGAAGGAGGGGACGGGUAGCCGGACGGGGGGGGUGGGCGGCCACAGUGGGACUGAGAAACGGGCCAGACAGCUACGGGAGGCAGCCGUGGGGGAGAUAGCAGAAUGGGAGAAAGGAUGAUGCAGCGACGGCGUGUGGGAGAUAACCGCUUUCGGGUAGUAAGCUUCUUGGGACGGAGAGGAAGCCACCUGGUUGGGAGGGUGGUGACGGUAGUGGCAGAAGAAGCGCCGGCUAAAUACGUG